UCUCUGUGCCCCUGUGCCAGUUAAUUUAAAUGUAUCUGUUCAAGUGGAGAUAAUCCAUGCAAAUCAGAGCACUGGCUCCCAGUGCUUGAUUCACAAAGAGAACUCAGCUUCAGGAGGUCACUCGUUCACAGCUGCUCCUCCCAUUAUAUUUUUCCCUUAUUGCAGAACUGCUGCAUGUAUACAGUGACCGAAAGGACUCAAUUUACUGCAACUGCUGCCUGGUUUUACUUACAACUUUCUUUAAAGGGGGACUUACCUUCUAUCAGUCUUAAUAAGAAUGGCUUGGGUUGGAAGGGAUCUUAAGGAUAAUCUAGUUCUACCUCCUCUGUUAUAGACUGGCACGCUUCCUGCUGUUGCUGUCAUUUCAAGGCAGCUGCCAGAGGAACCCAGGAGGUGACAGAGGCCUGGGAUUGGCGCAGGGCCUUGAGGAAUGUAGCUUGCAGGUAAAAAUGGUGGCUGCACCCAAAGGACAUAACUUCACCUGAAGCUGUAAGCAAUGAGACCUAAGCUUAGGCUGCAUGGAUGCAACUGAGUAACAAUGAAGCUGCAGGGAUUUUUCAGCGUGAAUGAAAUAAUCUCUCCUGGUGUUCCAUCAGUGGUCUUAUUAAAUAACUUUGAUUUAAAUACUGGUUUAGUAGUAAAUGCAGGCAAAUAUUAUAAUGAAAUUGAGCCUUACACAUAAAUGCAUACUGCACUCAUUUUGUGUGUCAUGUGAUGUCUGCACUCAACUGUAGUUUUGUAGUAAUGAAGAGCAAUCUCUGAGUCACUGGACAGGGACAACUGGACAGCAAGUGAGUUUAGGUGUAAAUGUAGGCCUUGAAUUCUUUCUGAAGAAGUUUUACAGUUUUGUGUAAGCUACAUUAGUACUCUCUUUAGAUUGCUUAUUAAUAGCAUCUUGCUGUAAUUUCAUUUUCAAUAUAUUUGAGUUUCCUUGUGUUAAUAGAAGAAAAAGUGUCUUUACAUAAGUUUAUUUAGAGGCUCAAAGAAUAUGUAUUAAUUGCGUGCCAAGAAAGUAAAUAUUACAGCUGAAAACGAAUUUGUAAAAUUUUCAGAGUAGUUGACAAUUGUAUAUAACCAUUGCUUAGGAGAUCGAGGCAAUGUGAUUUGUACUUCUUUUGUCUCUGCUAUAAAAUUUGGAGGAAUAACAGCAAUGUGUCUGAUGGAAUAUCUACAGUGAAGUCAUGCUACAAGCUAUGUAAGGCAGUAAGAGAUACACGUCAAUUUAAAAUAGAAUAGUGAGUAAUCACUUAGCUUACUUCUUUCCAACAUUGUAUGGAUAUGUAAUGAAGAUUCAUCUUUUUGAAACAACUAUUUGUCUUCAGGAAAAUGUGUCUCUUAUGUGCUUAAAGAGAGAUUUACUCUGUAAUGCAUGAAAGCUAGAUGCACAAAUGAAAUAUUUGUUUAGAAACUCUUACGGUAAUUGUAGAGAUUCUACCUAAUACUUUUAAAAGGAGUAAAUAUGACAAAGAUUUUACACAGGUGAUGGUUAUCUAAAGGGCACAUAACGUAGGCUCCAACUGCUUUUGUAAUAGUUCAGUUCUGUACGUGAAAUAUGUUCUCUACUUAAGAAAAGAAUGAGAAUAUGAAAUAUGUUGUGUCUCAGUGAUUCUUUGGAUUUUCAUUCUGUUGAUCA